AUUGAACGCUUGCGGCAGGCCUAACACAUGCAAGUCGAGCGGAGCGGCGGACGGGUGAGUAAUGCCUAGUACUCUGCCCGGUAGUGGGGGAUAACGUCCGGAAACGGGCGCUAGUACCGCAUACUAUCAGAUGAGCCUAGGUCUGAUUAGCUAGUUGGUGGGGUAAAGGCCUACCAAGGCGACUAUCCGUAACUGGUCUGAGAGGAAGAUCAGUCACACUGGAACGGAGACACGGUCCAGACUCCGACGGGAGGCAGCAGUGGGGAAUAUUGGACAAUGGGCGAAAGCCUGAUGCAGCGAUGCCGCGUGUGUGAAGAAGGUCUUCGGAUUGUAAAGCACUUUAAGUUGGGAGGCGUUACCAACAGAAUAAGCACCGGCUAACUUCGUGCCCGCCGCCGCGGUAAUAC
rnacentral:rRNA from 1 species